AAAUAGGUUCUGAUGUCUGCCCCUGUAGCUCACUGGGAAAGAAUGCAAACAGUCCCAGGAAUGAAUACUCAGGAAGGCUUCGCUGCCUGAAGGAGAAAACAUUUCCUGUGUCGGUGCUUAACAGAGGAAGACGACUGGUCUGCAAUGACCUCAGAAGGUUCUGGCAGUUUUCCAAAGACCUUAAGCAGAAUUAUCUCAAAGCUUCCAUCAACUCCAUGAGCCCUUGCAGUACGGUGUGGAACACCUCUGCAUUCCAGAAGAGGAAUGAUUGUUGCAAUAGAACAGUAUUUCUCUAACUGUGAGUUGUGACCCUUUGGGGUUGAACCACCAUUUCACGGGGUCACCUAGGCUCAUCAGAAAACAUAGAUACUUACGAUACAAUUCAUCACAGUAGCAAGAUUGUAAUUAUGAAGUAGCAACAAAAAUAAUUUUAUGGUUGGGGGGUCACCACAACAUGAGGAACUGUAUUAAAGGAUUGCAGCACUAGGAAGGUCGAGAACCACUGCCAUACAGUGUUCUCUAUAAGGCAUUUUUACAACCACUGGAAACAUCUUCACCAGUGAGGCAGCAAAGGACAACAGAAUUUUUAGUAUAUUUCUUCAAUCGUCUUCACUACUAGCCAAACAUAAUCUUUUGAAGGCAGACAGCAGUUUCCUAAUGUCCAUAAUCCUAUAAGACUUAAUACAUCGCUUAAUUGAAUGAACAAAAGUAGGUAAGAUUAUUCAAGCUUUGGAGAUACCAAGGCAAUUGGUCCAGAGGCAUUUCUUGAACAUCUGUGGCACUAAGCUCAGAAUGGAGCAAAUGUGAACUAUGCAGUCAACCCCCUUUUAUGGUGCUGUUGGUCUGUUCAUAAUUCUGUGAACCAGAAGCACCAGGGAAAUUUUAACAUAGAACACAUAUCAGAACCCCAGAAAAGGAAGUACCCAAGGUAUAGAAAACUAACCAUGAAAUACAUGCCCAAUGACACAGUCACCAAAGCCCAAAGGGGGUAGUCGCCUGCAGCUCAGGAAAGAGAAGAGGCCAGGGAAAGAACAGACAGGGGCUUGUGCAAUUUGUUUGUUUGUUUGUUUGUUUGUUUUUAAUCUUUGGGCUCUUUGAGGGGCCCACCACCC
rnacentral:lncRNA from 1 species